CAUUUCCUCAAAUACUAUUCAUCUCUAAUCCCUAAACCCCUCUGCAUCUCUGCGAAGACCGCCUUAUCCUUCACUUCAUCUGAUUUUCGAACGCCAAGCACCGAUGCCCUUCUCCUUCCUCUGAUUCUUUCAAGAACUGAACAAUCCAUGGGUGUAUCUUCUUGAAACGAGGUUCGAACAAUGCAGCAGCAACUUAUACUUCCUUCCUCUAAAUCCUUCGAAUGGAAUCAGGAUGCUUAUUCAAGAUAUUCAUUUGUUCUCAACAUCUUCAGGCAUGUCUAUUUCUGGUGUCCCACAGAAUAUGGAUGAUCAUCACUUGAAUAAUAUGGGUGACUUUUCGAUGGGCUCUUUGCCUAUGAGCCUGAGGUAUCUUAGCUUGGUGUCCCUGUCUUCGGAGAUUAUUGUGGCUUAAAGGAGAGUGUAUUUUCUUUUAACCAUUUACAAAAACAUGAGUUUUGCAAAUCCUCUAUAGUCUAUUUUAAAGAACACCCAAAUUCAUUAUCUAUCUUUUGUCGUCAUUUCAGCAAUAUCUGCAUUACUAAGGGACAGACUGGCUUGGGGAUCCCUUCUUUGGACGCCUUUCUUCCCACAAAGUUUGAAAAAGGUUAAACAAGAGCUAAGAGACUAUCUAUUGGUGAGUCGACCUCAAAACAAAAGGUUGAUGUUAUGAUUAUGGGUGACUUAUGUUCACCAUGUAAUUAGGACAAUGAUUAAGGGCCUUAAUCAUUCAUGUUUGAGGUUAGAAGAGGACAAAAUACCACAAUUAUGAUGGGUAGUAUGGGAAUCAAUAGUACAUUGUACUAUUGAUCAUGUAAUCUUAGACAUGUGAAGCUUUGAAGUGUAAAACGUCAGCCCUUGGACUUGGGUAUGAAGCUUUGGAGGCCGUGGGUAUCACACAAAAGGAAAGUCAAGCAUAAAAAGAAGCCAAAACAACCUAGCAGCGUGCUAGCCUGCUGCUCCAAUGAGCAGGCCCAUUAGAUGGGUUUCUGACCUAGUUGUGUGGCAUGCUGUUGGUGUAUUGCUGUUGUCCCCACUCUUAUUUCCCUUGUAUAUACUCCUUCAUACUCUUAGUCAUUAGGCACCAAUGUCUCACAUUAGAGCAACCUUACUUGCUUGUGUAUUUACUCCCUAAUUAGCUCCUCUCUUCACACACUAAUACUCCAUUGUACUUCCUUUUAGUUUUGUAUUUCUCCACAUUAAUAUAAUCUUAGGCUAGAUAGUGGAUGUAGCCCAAGAUUGGUGAACCUCUUUAAAUACUUGUUUUGGUUAUUUAUUUAUUAUAGUCGUU